ensembl:lncRNA
AGUUGAGCAAAGCAGCUUCUGUUCUCCUUGCAGAAUUUUCUUGUCAGAUGUUCAUUUGUGAGGAGUGGGAGAGUAAAACAAGUUUUGUUCUCUCCUUCGGAGAAGACAGCUGUUAGGACAGUUUGUAUGGCUUACAGCCUGUUCCUGACAUCUACUGGAUUGAAAGUAAACUAGGGCACUCAUCAGAGGAAAAAGCUGACCCAGAUCAUCUAAUCCUGUUAAGAAGAAUUUCAAGCCAGAAAGUAAAAUUAGUAGUUGAACUGUAUUGUGAUUCCCUGGAAGUGACUGUGGCUUCAUAUACUAUUGCAUCGUCCUAGCUUUACUAUUUUCCAGCCACUGCCUAUAACAAGGAUUGGGACCUUGGGCUAUUAUAAUAACACAAAAUUUUCUUUCUGUGUUCUUGCAGUAUCUGACAUACAUUCUGUAAUUCUGGUGUUGCACUCUCUUCUUCUCCAAAAAAAAAAAAAAAAAAAAAGUCCCAGUCUCAAAGUAUAAUGUAGAAGGGGUUGGCACUGUUCUGUUCUUCUAGCUGAAGAAAUACUAUUACUUCUUCUCCAUGAAAAGUUUGACAGGACAAUCAGAAAUCCAUAGAAAACUUGUUUACUCUCAGCUAGAUGUCCUAGUAGAGAGAAACAACCAGGAUUUAUUUAUUUAAGGUCUUUACUUAUUUAAAUUCAGUUUCUCAUAGUGUAUGAUGACUGUUUUACUUCUUCAAUCUUAUUGAAACCCAAAGUAAACCUGCAAAAAAAACUGCUAAGUUUAAUGAAGAGGAUAACUUAUUUUAAUUGCAUUAUCAAAGCAAUUUUCCUGAUGAGUGUCAGGUGACAAGUCAUUGCCUUUUUUAAUCUGAAGUUUAGGUCUUUAUUUUUCCACACCUCAAGUAGCAAAAGCAUUCUGCUUAUAAGUUUACUUCUAACACUGCAGUUUUGUUUGACACAGUGAUAGACUCCACUUGAUGACUUAAAAUAUUAUAUUUGAAAGAAAAGAAAAAAUUGUCUGUUUGGUCAAUGCUGUUUUUGAAAAUGGAUUAGUCUUUUAGUGGACUUCCACUCUUAGGCCAGUGCACAGAAUUUCUAAGGAGUUACGUUCAUCUUUUGUGUUGGGUUACCGCUUCCUUCGCAGCUCAUAAGCAGUCCUGUUGGGAAACAGGACUUUGAUGACAUUGAUUUAGAUACAUUUGUUAGCUGCAUACAAAUGAAAAUUAGUUUUAGGAUUAUUAAUGAGUCUGCAAAGACAGAAUCACUGCAGUGAAAGACAGAAAACAGUCUGUCAUCCCCCUUUCUAUGAAAGACUGUAUGGUCUUGAGAAAUGAGGCAACUUGGGUGAGUCAUAUAAUGAGUACUCACAAGGUUAGGAGCAAAUUUAUGGUCCUGAAGUCCUUUCUAAAUGCAAAUAACAGUGCUAGGACCAGUACUUAGCCAAAUAAUCAUAUUAGCAGUUUCAGCUUGGAUUGAAAUAGUCUUAGCUGAAACUCCUUUCCAUAGAAUUAUAAUUUCUGUGUGUAAUGUCACAGAGGCAUAGAAAGGCAGGAGUAAAGAAGUCACUUUGCUCAACAUUUCCUAAAUCUCCCAUUUCUGGAAGCAUAAAACAAGUACAGAGGCAAUGGUUAUGGAGACUUGUUUGGGAGACCCCAUGUUGUAGUGAAAAUAGGCGGGAUUGAGCCAAAGCGUGCUUGCCUCUGAAAGUAAUUUGCAGUGCUUUGCAGAGAUUCUUGAAGGUUACCUGAAGGUCUACAGAACUGAUCAACAAACAUAAUCAAAUGUUGUGAGAAAAGACAUUCACCUGAAUUGGUAUAAAGUAUAUGUAUCACACUAUAUGUUAUUUAUAUCAUUCAGUAGUGAGGAAGAUAAAUAUCUCUAUGCCAAAAGAAAAGGAUUUUUGGACAUCUCAAAAAUCCUUCCUUUAAUAUUGCUGUGUAGGCAUUAAUGAUUAAGAGAAGAAGACUUCAUGGAAAUCGGGGUGUAACACCCACAGCUUUGCACUGAUAUGCACUGACAAGGUGGAGAUCAAGAAGAAAAAACUGAAAUCCAAGGAGAAGAACACUAUAUGUAAAUCAGCAAAAAUCCCUCUGCCUUACCUUUUUCUCAAAGGCUGGUCUUUCUUACUGAAGUUAUUACGGAAUUUUUGAGAGGAAAUGGCUUUGCAGCAAGUUUUGUGUGCUCGAGCAUAUAUACAUAUACUAUCUUAUUCUGUUCUAUUAAAAACUACUGACCUACUGUCACUUAUUUGCAUGAUGUUUAGCAUGAUAAGAUCCACUACUAAAACUGUUGCUAAAUCCAGCAAAUUAAACUGUAGAUUCUCAUCAGGUUUGAAAUUUACACAGAAGUCUUGAUCUUUAGGCUUAAACUCCAAGGUAAAGAUUAGUUAAAUGGCAAAAAGACUUUUUUGAAACAGUUAAAAUAACCUUGUGUAUAAAAAUAGUUUUUUCUUCUUUCUCUCCACAAAAAUGAAGGUGAAAAAAAGAGAAAGUGAAAGGAAGUGAAAAUGGACUCUUUUCCAGAUUAGGUGAAACAGAACAUGACAAUUGAAAUGAAUGAGGCAAAGGGUUGGCAAGGCAAACUUACAUUUUAGUGUUAUGAAAGUGACAGGUGAGUAUAUUUCCAAGCAUAUUACCUGUGAAUCUGAUAACCAAUGACUUUCUUUUAAACCCUGGAAAAUUACUGAAGUUCUAAUGCAGUUUUAUAUUCCUGAAGAUGUUUGUGACUCAUAAAAUACUGUAUCCAUUACAAUAAACACACAGAAGUGAUGCACUUAAUUAAUUAAUUGAUUUUACUUUGUCAUAUUUUCCAUAUAUUUGCUAUAGAAAAAUAACAUUCAGUUUGGAAUCCUUUAAUAUUAGAGCAAAACAUCAGAAAGUUCCAAAAUGUAUGUGCAUUUCCAAGGAGAGAAUGCAGUAUUUACAUGCCUGCCUGUAACAUCAGCCACCUUGAAUACCUUCUACUUUUGCUUUCUGGAGACAGGGAGAUAAAAAUUCUUUACAUUCUAAGCAGCACUGCAAAAACAGACAAAUCAAUCACAUUCAUCAGCCACACAUUUAUAAAUAAAAUGCAGACAAAUAUCCUGCUAUAAAAAUGGUAAAAGAAUGAUGAGGAAAUAAGGCUUUCUAAGCUACUUAACAACAUUCUUAUGAUUAAAAUCCAUAAUCUGUCAAAUUCACUCAUAAAGUUUACUGUGUGCCAUAGUUUACAGUGGGGAGAGACGACUAAAACUUAUGUUUACUCACUGUCUCCGUCAGACUUUCUGCUUUGAUUGAAAUAAAACCAGAUAUAUAUUCUGCCAACAAAAAAUCAGCAAGUAUAAAAUAGAAGUGUGCAUCAGUUUAUAUUAUUGCUGCAACAGUGUCCCAAAUCUUGAAAAAAAAUGUAUAAUGUACUCAAGUAAACUGAUGUUAUAAUUUCUCAUACUUCUAAGUUGUCAGAAACAAAAUUUAAAGAACAAUACCUUUUCUUAACUACAGUUUUACACUCUUUUAAAUUUUUAUUCUAAAUUUCCAUUGUAUUACACUGAAAUUUUUGCUUUCUGCCAACGUUUUGUGAGAUCUAUCAGUUUGCCUGUGGAUAAGAUUGAGGAAAUGCAAUGUAAUUCUCAAAUACUGCAGUUUUAAGAUUGAUUCUCUUCCUUUGUAUGAAGGGCAGAUGUAGGACUCAGAGUAAGGGGCCUUGUGCAUUUUAAGCGUAGACAUGAUUUAUUCUUGAGACUCUAAUUUCAUUGGUAAUGUUGACACAUCUGUUCCCACUCAUGAUAGCUGCCAGGGGCUCUACAAUCAGUGUCAUCAAAGAACCGGUUAUACUGGAUUUAAGGGAUGAGUUGUGGCCACAGCAGAACUGGAGCCUACAAAUUUCCCUCUAUGGUUGGUAGAAUAUGCUAUCAAUUUUGUGAAAUUUUACAGAGCCUUUUCAGUUAAGGGAGGGACCAAUUUUUAGGUUGUACACUGUGGCACUGGAGCUGUACUCUACUGUGACAGUAUGGUGGGUACUUAUUUAAUUCAGAAGAGUGUUUUGCCUUGAGCCCCGCGCUUUGUAUCUUCAGGAUUUCUUACAAUGCAAUCUAACGUGUUUCCUUCCAGCUGCCUUGCCUUUCAAAAAACAAAAACAAAAACAAAAACAAAAAACAACAGAACAACAGAAAAUGAACAAACAUCAUUCUAUCACACAAAGAAACAAAAAAUCAAGAUGUCUGAAUUGCAGUAUUUCUGAAAAUUUUGCAUUUGAAAUACUAAGUAUACUUACAGCUAUUCCACAUUGUUACCAGUGUUGAGGUGUUCCUGCCUGUCAAAAAAUGUUAUUUGAAAGCCAUCCUACCAGUUUUGGUUUUAACAGUGAACCAGUAGAACGCCAAACAAUAAAACCAAGAAGAAUUACAAAGUAUAUGUAAAUGGUAUUUCCACUUUUAAGAAAAUUGAACACAAAUUUGUAACUGGAACACAAACCUAUGGACGAAAAGAUUAUUCAUAUUAAAGCUCAUGGCUGUUUUACUAUGUGAUAUGAAACUGCUGGCCUACACUAAACACAAUACUACAUAUCACUGUACUAAAAAACUAAGUUUAAGCAUCAGCAGUAUGCUUCUUCUGUGGCUUAACCCAAAGUAAUACUGAAAUUCCAAUAUCCUAAUCCUAUCCUUAAAUAGUAAAACAAGCUCCUUCCUUCCUUCCUUCCUUCCUUCCUUCCUUCCUUCCUUCCUUCCUUCCUUCCUUCCUUCCUUCCUUCCUUCCUUCUUCCUUCCUUCCUUCCUUCCUUCCUUCCUUCCUUCCUUCCUUCCUUCCUUCCUUCCUUCCUUCCUUCCAGACCACGUGCAAUUUUUGUUUGUCAAUACUUUUUUCUGUUUAAAAUUUAAACAAUAUCAAAAUAAGAUAAACUAUAAGCUAACAAAGAUGCUUUGGUGUCUUCAGUAUUUUAUCACUCCACUGCCUUCAUGUGAUAACAAGCAGCAUCAUGGAAAGCAGAAAUGGUGAAGGCUGGUUUUCUAUAGUCUCACUUUCUCUGUUUGAUCUGCUCAUGUCAAAUAAGCAGUGAGUUCUGGCUGCAGUGUUUCCAUGGCUGAAAAUUUCAGAACAUUCCUCAUGGGAAUGGAUUUCUGGCUAUUUUGUGAGAGCUGAGAUCAGACUACAUUGUCUCAGUGAAGAUACUAAGAAAGAAAUCUUCCUCCAACUGGAUGUCAUUUUUUUUAAGCAUUAGAAAAUCAAUACACUGGGACUUGUUCUAUCAACUCAGAUUGUGUACAAUAUCAGCAGAAGUUGCAGAACAUGUACAAAUGCACAUACACUAUAUAUACAUAAAAUAUAAUUUCAUAAGCCUUGUUUAUUUGGGAUAAAAAGGAAUUACUGCUUUCCAGAAGAAAGGAGAAUAAUUCAAGAAGAUUAAGAAGAAAAAAAGAAAAAGGUUAAACAGCUUCACUCAUCCUCUUGCUGUUGCUUAUGUGCACUGUUCCAUAUAUACAACUAAGGAUUAAGUCUUUGAAUUUCAUCACAUUCAAAGACAUCUAAAGCAAA